UAAUACGUAGGGGGCGAGCGUUGUCCGGAAUUAUUGGGCGUAAAGAGCUCGUAGGCGGCUGAGCAAGUCGGGUGGGAAAUCUCCAGGCUCAACCUGGAGCCUUCGCUCGAUACUGCUCUAGCUAGAGUCCGGUAGGGGAGUGUGGAAUUCCCGGUGUAGCGGUGAAAUGCGCAGAUAUCGGGAGGAACACCGGCGGCGAAGGCGGCACUCUGGCCGGUACUGACGCUGAGGAGCGAAAGCGUGGGGAGCAAACAGGAUUAGAUACCCUGGUAGUCCACGCCGUAAACGUUGGGCACUAGGUGUGGGGCCUUAUCAACGGGUUCUGUGCCGCAGCUAACGCAAUAAGUGCCCCGCCUGGGGAGUACGGCCGCAAGGCUA
rnacentral:rRNA from 1 species